rnacentral:rRNA from 1 species
GACGAACGCUGGCGGCGUGCUUAACACAUGCAAGUCGAACGGAGUGGCGAACGGGUGAGUAACACGUGGGUGAUCUGCCUUGCACUUCGGGAUAAGCUGGGGAAACUGGGUCUAAUACCGGAUAGUGCAAGAUGAGCUCGCGGCCUAUCAGCUUGUUGGUGGGGUAAUGGCCUACCAAGGCGUCGACGGGUAGCCGGCCUGAGAGGGUGUACGGCGACAAUGGUACUGAGAUACGGACCAGACGCGUACGGGAGGCAGCGGUGGGGAAUAUUGCACAAUGGGCGGAAGCCUGAUGAAGCGACGCGGGGUGGGGGAUGAAGGCGUUCGGGUUGUAAACUCGUUUCGACAGGAACGCGGUACCUGUAUAAGAAGCACCGGCUAACUACGUGCCAGCAGCCGCGGUAAUAC